UCGUAUUGCACACCAAUUAAUUAAUUUUCAGAGUAAAAUUCAAUUAUGUUUUUACCAUCUACCUUAUCAUCAUCUUCUUCUUCUUCUUUUUACCGACGUUUUACUAUUUGCCUCUAAUACUACAAUUUCAACCCACCAGCUAUAUGUUUACCUCACUUUUUGUUAUUAUUAGUUUUAAUACUGAACAGCCAACCUAUGUAACAACUAUAUAACUGACAAUCAGAUCCUCUGCUCACACCUACUUUCUUCAAAAAAAAAAAAAAAAAUUAAUUCAAUGCAGUUUUAACGAAAGACUAGCUUCUUCAAUCUUCACACAUGCGGAUGUGUGUAGAUUGGCUUUUGAAUAUUGAAAAAAAAAAUUGUGUACAAUCAUUAGAGUAUUUAGAUAAGAUUUUUUGGACUAUUCUUUUUUCUCAUCAACAACAAAUUAGGAUAAAAAAUUAAUUUAAAAAAAAAAAACUGUGACAUAUUGAAAGCAGUUGUAGGUUCAUAUAAAGUUCCUUCCUCUUUUUGUUCUUUUUUCGUUUUCUGUUUUUUUUAUUUUUCCAUUUCAUAUUUCCGUUUUAUCCAUCAUAUAAUAAAUUUUCUAUUAUUAAAGUUUUAAUUAACUAAGGGCAAUUGCAGCUUCUUUUUUAACAUUUAAUCAUAAGCAUUAUUUACUUAAUUAAUACUGAUAAUAGUUAAGACACCUAACUGAAAUGACAAGAAAUAGAAAUUUUUUUAGUAUUAAACAUAAAUUUUCACUCUAGCUUUAGACCUUCGAGCAAUUUCAAAAUUGAUGCUCGUUAAAAAGAAAGAAAGUAAUCAUGACCCAAACAAAUCAUAGAUAAAAACCUCCAUUAUUAACUGUUUGGAUGGAAAAAUGUUGAAAUGAGGUCCACACAUUUCUUUCCUCUUUCGAAAGACUUUCGAAUACCAAAAAUAGAUGCCUCCACGGCUACCCCUGGACCACUCAUAAAUUGAAUGGGUGACAAGAGUCACAAGACCAGUAACCAAUCAGGUCUCACGCUCAUACCAACCCUAAAACUCAGAAAGGUAUACGAAUUCAUGCAUAAGGGUUUUGAAUUUUUUUUUUUUUUGGGCAACAAUAAGGGUUUUGAAUUUUGAUGAAUGAGAAUCUAGGUACACCCAUAGUUUUGAUAUUAAUAUUAAUACUAAGACAGAAGCAAACAAGGCCCCAGUCGCAGAGACCAGAAGUACGUUGCGGCAACCGACUACGCAGUGGUAAAAAUAAAAAAUUACUUCAUCGAUAUUUUUGUUAGAAAAACCUUCCCCGAUAGGCAAGCAGCCACGUCCACCUUCUGGCGUGCUUAAACACUUAAAUUAGAUAGGCAUGCAAUUAACCAUGUAGUCGAUCUACCUACCAUUUGGUUUCCUACUUACAUACAAGGACCAGUCUUUUCAUGAAAAACUCUGGAAGUGAUAUAGCAAGAAAGCCAGUUUUAAACCCGAGCAAAGCUAGAACGGUCUCAUGAUGCAUCAAGAUCAUUAAACUCGAUCUCUCUCAGGUUUCUUACUCUCUGCAAUACACAACAUGUUCAUGGUUGCAUGGACAUUUCUAGUUCGGCUAGGGUUAUUUCGACUACUAUAUCUACAUUCAGAUGUUCUCGACAAACCCAUGUGAUCUCCCCGCAAAUCCUUUUCUCUGUUUAAAUGAAUUAGUUUGAAUUGAGAGGUUAUGUGCUAAAAUUGUAGAAACAACUUUCUUUUACUAUUUGUAUCCAAAAAAAAAAAAAAAUCUUUCUUGUACUGUCAAUUAUAAUUAGGGUCCUUUAUAAUUAUGAAUCUCGCUUAAGAUUUGAGAGGUAACUUGGCCCAGAGAAGAGUCCGAUGAGACAAAAGGCAACCACCUACUUGCCUUACAUGUCCUAGACUAUUUAAGAAAUGGCAACCCCCUUCGGACCUUAGUUGGGUAAGGUCCGGCCUGAAAAAGAGUCAGAUGAGACAAAACCUCUGGCUUUACAUGUCCUACGGACCAAGGCAUUUAAGAAAAGGACCUCAACUUGGUACAAACCCUAGAAUAAUUAGUUUAUAGACACUGGUAAAUGAAGUGUUCUAAUUAAUGGAAGUCAAAAUGACUAAAUUUCAUUACAAUUCUCAGUAAAAUUCUUCAAAGGCUUUCAAAAUCUCACAACUGACGUUGAUCCAACUAGAAUGUAAAAAAUGAACAAAAUGACCAAACUGCAUACAUAAAAAAAUACCAGUAUUAAAAUUGUAUGAUGCGAAACAAUGGUUCAAAAUUGUAAUCUCGAUGAAAUUAUGUAUAGCAAAAUGCAAUUGUCUAUUAUUUCAAAAAAAAAAAAAUGCAAUUGUCUAUUAUUUCAAAAAAAAAAAAAUGCAAUUGUCUAUUAAAUAAGUUACUUGGAGUUUUAUUGCACAAGCAGAGCUGCAGAGGUAACUGGAAAAUGCAAAGGUGAAAAUAACACAAUUUCUCAAAAAAAAAAAAGUGAAAAUAACAUAGAAAAAAUUUAAUUAACUA